CUUUCUUUCUUGUUUUCCAACAUCUCAUCCCUUAACUUCAACUCUUAAACAAGCAAGUUUAGGAAAUUAACACACAUUUGCCCCACCCUAGUUUGCCAACCCAGUAAAGUCAUUGGGUCUAAAUUGGCCAGGUCAUUGUAAUACAGUUCUAGCUACAGCCCUUCAGAUUAUUCCAAAAUUUUAUCAUGUAGACCAUCAGACCAAGAUGGCAGCGUGCUCACAUUUAUUUUUGUUUAUCUUAUACAGUGGUGCUUGAAAGAAGAAGAAACCUUUAUUCGUCACAUGCACACUUCAAGCACAGUGAAAUUCAUUCUCUGCAUUUAACCCAUCUGAAGCAGUGAACACACACACACUCAGAGCAGUGGGCAGCCACACCAGAGCGCCUGGGGAGCAGUCAGGGGUUCAGUACCUCGCUCAAGGGCACCUCAGCCCAAGGCCACCCCACGUCAACCCAACCACAAACUGAAGACUUUGCUGGAUUCUAUGAGGACAGCUUAUGAAAAGUUGAUGAGGGUAGGACCUUUGGACUCAGCCAAGCAAAAUGCCACUGAGAAGGAGGCGUGGAUCAUAAGAAGUUUCAGUGUGUGCCGCAACUGGUUCACCAGAGUUCCUGGGAAGCAGGGAGUAAAAUUGAAACAGACACUACAAGGCUCCAAGAAAACUGAGACCAGGUCAGACAGAGAGGAGGAAGAAGAGGGAUGGAGUUCUUUAGUGGUAGAAAUGGACUCUGGGGAAGAAGGGGUGUAGUCUGAUGUAACUUCAUGCCAAACAGUUCCAUCCGGACCACCAUCCAGAACUACCAGAGGUGGACCAUUCAAAAUGUCAAGAGGAUUGAAAAGGCAGCAGGAGGAACAGUGGGGGCCACCUUUGACCAGAUUGAUGGAAGAAAUCUCUUCAACAUUUGACGAUGUCCAGAGUCGGCUGGCCUCCCUGCAGCAGCAGGAACCUCUCCAUGACCAAGAAGAUUUUGGGCUGAAAUGUUACAUGCUGAAACCAUGCAGAUUAGGGAGAAGAGACUACUUCUGGGGCAGCAGUCCUUACAGCAGCAGCAUCAACAACCACCUCACUAGUACUUCCCAGCCUUCCAGUAAGCUCAGCAACAGUACUACCCUAGCCUCGCCAUGUCAUCAGUUAAACCAGGCCCUUCUUCUGCAGCUCCAACCAACUGGGCAACUUUUGCUCCACUCCAUGGCAGUAGUUCCUGUGCAGCAACAAGGUCCACCUGCAGGGCAACAAGAAGGACAAGGCCACCCUCCUCAGACCUCAGCUGUUCCUGGUACAGCUGGAUAGUUUGGACCUCCUUCUGUUGGCUCUUCUCUGGGCAACACUUUUGUUCAUUCACUUCCUCCCAGACACAUCAACAAUGAUGGGAGGGAUCCACAUCCCUUCAAAUGUGUGCACAGCAAACACUUCAUUCUUAUCUGAUGCAGAAGGGCCACAGUUUUCUCCUAGUAACAAGUCAUGAAGCCUUGACGUGCUAUGGACUUUUACACCUGGAUGUGCUGUUGAAUUUUGUAAACUAAAU